rnacentral:rRNA from 1 species
UACAGAGGUCCCAAGCGUUGUUCGGAUUCAUUGGGCGUAAAGGGUGCGUAGGCGGCGCGGUAAGUCGGGUGUGAAAUCUCGGAGCUUAACUCCGAAACUGCAUUCGAUACUGCCGUGCUUGAGGACUGGAGAGGAGACUGGAAUUUACGGUGUAGCGGUGAAAUGCGUAGAUAUCGUAAGGAAGACCAGUGGCGAAGGCGGCUUCCUGGCCUGUUCUUGACGCUGAGGCGCGAAAGCUAGGGGAGCAAACGGG